GCAGAGGGGCCGUGUUCCGGGAACACGUUUCCUGCUCUAAAACGUCCGGUGUGUUCCGGCCCAAGUGCCUGCUCAGGUUUAAAGGGGGUUUCUUUUGCUAGUACUUAAAAAAGUUAAAAAUAAUCACUACUAUUAAAUAGAUCUUUAGUGUGUUUUAAAUGGCAAAAGCACUUCACUCAGAAUUGGUGAUUCUGUUUCAUGCGUGUGUUAAGUGGGGAUAGGUUUGUGGCAAGAGUUGGAUGCUGUUAUCUUGCUGAAUGGAGAAAGUAUAAUUUACUACAUGAUCAUGCUGUGGAGCAUUUCACUGAGUUUCUUCUGGGUGCCUGGAUUUUGUGACCGUUUGGUGGCCUUUAAGAAGAGACUUUAUGUUUUAUUUCAACAGGGUUAACAUAAACAUAGUGUUUUAAGCUUAAAAUGAUGGAAAACCCCUACGUAGAUCUUCCAACGUGGACAUUCCAACAGGAAGCUAUAAAGAGAAGUAAAAGUGACAGCACAUUAUCAGUGAAAAAUAAGACUAGGUUUAAAAAGAAUUACAGACGCUCUUCCAGGUGGCAGACCCGAGUCAGCCAGGAACUGUCAACCUGGAGAUGAAGUGCCUCGCUGGGUGGCCUGCGCAUCAUGUGUGAUGAGGGAAGUGCUCCUGCUGUCACUCAGUCAUGAAUUCCUGUGCGUGGUGGGUUCCAGCAGUCAGCCAGAGGCUAUCAUCAAACUUGUUUUGCUUUGUAUUAAAUUAAACUCACUAGAAACAGUGCAAGGUCAGGAAAGGCAGUUAUCAAGGCCUUCGACCUCUAAGACUUUACAUUUGCUGUGAGUAGACCUUAGCAUGCCAGGAGAAGUUUCUCAUCAAAACCCAGCUUCCAUCAGCAAAGACAGGAGGAAGCCAAGUCAGGACCAGAGCCCCCUCUCUCCUGUAGACGGAGGAUACAUUCAGGAACUCAGAACCUGGAGGAGAGAAUGUUCAAACCAGAAGGCCCCUGGAAGACUGUGCCUGAAACGCGGCUAAGGCACCACCAGGCUGAACAGAAAACGGGGGCCUUAUCAGAGAGAAGGGAAGGGCCCCAUAGUCCAAACGCCCAGGAGGCUCCGACCUGACCCGCGGCCACGAGUGUUUGCUGCAGGACGAGAAUCUGGGGAAGAUGCAGCCAAGAAAAUGGCCUGGCCGGGCCGGGAAGAGCAGCCCACAGAGACCCGCAGCACAGAGAGGGAUGCGGGGAGCCUGCCCUGGGAGCCACCCCGGCUGAGGCUCAGGAGGGGAGCUGCGAAGCCUGAAACCCAUCGAUGAUGGCUGGUGAUGAAAACAUGUGGGUGGACCUGCUUUGAUGGCGAGAUGGACAGGUCUGAGCUCACACAUCCUCGGGAAAACAAAUAAAACUCUGUGGAAAUGGACAUGAGACACUGGGCCCUCAUUCCCCAACUUGUAGAGAUGACUGAGAAAAGCUUCCAGAAACUCGAGGACAUCACAACUUCCAGCUGGGUCAAACUCAGGGUGCUGUGAGGCCUGGGCAGAGAGACCCCCAGGGUUUCCCAGGGAUGGCGGAGUCUCUGGAGGAAGGAGACACCAUGAAGAUGGGGAUGGAAGCUGCCUGCCCCAUGGAGAGGGGAGGGGGCCGGCCACUCUCACCCCUCGAACAAAAACCGGGUGGAACCUGAGAGGAGCAAAGAAACAAACACAACCCUCACACACCUCAGGACACACACACAACACCUCACACACCUCAGGACACACACACAACCCUCACACACCUCAGGACACACACACAACUCUCACACACCUCAGGACACACACAUAACCCUCACACACCUCAGGAAAUACACACAUAACCCUCACACACCUCAGGAAAUACACACAACCCUCACACACCUCAGGAAACACACACAACCCUCACACACCUCAGGACACACACAACCCUCACAUACCUCAAGAAACGCACAACCCUCACACGCCUCAGGACACACACACAACACCUCACACACUUCAGGACACACACACAACCCUCACACACCUCAGGACACACAUAACCCCUCACACACCUCAGGACACACACACAACCCUCUCACACCUCAGGACACACAACCCUCACACACCUCAGGACACACACACAACCCUCACACACCUCAGGACACACACAACUUAACACCUCACACACCUCAGGACACACACAACUUAACACCUCACACACCUCAGGACACACACACACAACC
rnacentral:lncRNA from 1 species